GGCACACGACACACCCAUUACUCAAAGCAUAGGCAACCCUACUUUAAAUUCUUUUUGUUCCAUUAUGGAAUCAGUUCAAUCAUUCAAUGAUUGGUCCUUUGUCCAAAUAUCUCUAACCUAGGAUUCAUGGAUUGAAGUAAGAUAUGUGAGACUUGAGAGUUGUGGGCCUCACUUGAUAAAGAACAAAAUCUCUCUAUAAUAGCUUAGCAAGCCACAAUUUUGAUUGAGGUUGUGCGAGGAAGAAAACUCCUCAAAUCCCUUUCAUACUGAAACCUUUUGAAAAGAUAAUUUGAAAUCUUUUCAUUAUCAUGUUCAUUUCUAGACUUUUUGGGAGGACCCUCUUUGCUGCAGCCAAAUCAGAAGCUUUUGCUACAGUUGCUGCAGCUGGUUCUAUAGCUAGAACAAGCUACAACCCUCUUGAGGAGUUCUUUGAGGUCGAAGUUGGAAGGCUUCUGAGCUCCAUCUUAAAUCUUGGGACGAUCUUAACAAGCUGUGGUAUGUUCUGUUGAAGGAAAAAAACAUGUUGAUGGCUCAACGCCAGAUGCUUAAUGCACAGAACCUAUGGUUUCCUAAUCCAGAGCGUAUCCCCAAGGUAUAACUCAGAUUUUUUGGUUAUCUUUUGGUACAACCAUUAUAUGUUUUUACGAACACUUUAAAUAUUUGUUACCAUACACUUGUUCUUUAUGAGUUGAAUGAGCUUACUAUUUUCCUUCCAACCCUAUGCAGUUGUGCCCUAUCGGUCUUGGUUUCAUUAAUUUUAUGAUAUUCUUGCAUUAGAAAUGCACAGGAUUUUUGUUUUACAAUGUUUCAACCAAAUAGGAAUUUAGUGUUCUGAAUAAAUUAUUCCUGUUUUUUUUCACUGUAGCUAAAAUAGGUGCCUCCGAGUGGGCACGUUUGAGUUGUUUCCUUGUGUUUUUUUGAGGUUCAAGUCCAUAUAGCAUUAUGGAUGCGAAGUCUUAGUCAUUGUCAAAUUGUUUUGUCUUCACUAUGGAUUUCUAAUCUAAAUGGUAGUCAAGAUUAUAUAAAAUAAAAUAAAAAUCUAAAUAGUAGUCAAUUGUCUACUUUGAAUGCAGAAACUGAAUUGUAGUAUAGCUGCAAAAAGUUGUUUAUUUUAAAUGCAGAAACUGAAUUGACCCUAUAUAAGCUUCCCUGUGUUUUUUAUUCUCUUAGUUGCAAACUUAUUCCUAUCUUUGUAGUGAUCAAUAUGCUUGCCACAUCUAGUUCAAAAUUAGAAAUUCUACGAUUUUGAUUUAUGUUGCUUGGUUGCCACGAAAAUGGAAAAAGAAGGAAAUAUGUGGUAUUUAGCAUGUUUUGAAUUCUUUUUGCUCUAGUCCAUCUUUUUUCCUCUCUCUUAAUCGUGCUUGUGGUUGGUGAUGAGAUGAAAUGAAAUUAAGGUCAAGAAGUCUACUGAAAGAGCUAUCGAGGAACUAGAUUCGAGAAGGUCUGUCGAGAUGAAAAGGAUGGUAAAUGCUCUACGAUGACAUCCAAAAUGCUUAUCUUUCGGCGUUUGCACUGAUUAGGUUUUGUUGGUCGACUUUAAUGGUGCCUUUUGUCUUGUUGUCGGUGCAUAGGGUUUUGGCUAGAACUUGUAUCCAUGGACAACUACCUUCUAGUGAUUUUAUAGAUAGCUUCAUAUAUAUUUCAGGGC